UCAAGUUCUAAUACUAGUGCCUGGGAAGAAUUUAAAGUUUCUAGAAAUGAUAUGUUAAUAUUCUGACUCCUGGUGAGUCCCUUUAAAAUUAGAGCUACAGUCCCUGCACUAAGCUCUGCUACUGCAUCACAAGGUGACUGCUGGCUUAUGGAGGCACUUAUCAUUGCCAAGGGAAUGCCCUGUCUAACUCUGGAGGUUAUUCUCAGGAAUACCAUCAGAAGAGAGCUGCAAGAUUAGCUGCAGCCUCCUGAGGAUUGCACAUAGUAGGAGGAGCUGAAGAAAGGACAAUCACAGGAGUAUAAGUAGAGAACCAGGAAAGCUGAUGGUGCCAUUCAAUCUGAAUCUGAAAGCCUGAGACUGAGAUCAGUGUCCAAGGGUCUCUCACUGGCCUGGAGCUCAGCAAUUGGGUUAGACUGUCUGUGCCCAUGUCUACGGAGCUCGGGGGAUCAUUCUCUCUCCACCUCCCUGCCCCUGGGAUGACAAGUGUAUACUACCAUCCCAGACACUUUUAUCUGGUUCCUGAGUAUCAAACUCUUCAUGACUGCAAGGCAAGUGCCUCAGGCCUAUUCAGUUCUUCUGUUAUUCAUAUCUUUUAUUUCUUCACUGGGAUUUUUUUCAUGAUUGUUUCAAGAAUAUUUGCUAUUGCUUAUUAUGGCACCUGUAUACAAUGCUUUAAUGUCUUUCAGAAAGUUAUAAAUCUGUGUAUUAACCUGUUAACACUGCUUUAAUAAAUACCAUAGACUGUGUGUAAGUCAAAUUCAUUGCUAAGAGGCCAGCAUACUAAUGGCUUUCAUGCCCACUGAGAGGCCCACUGUGACCCUCUCUCCUCACACUGUCCUUACGACCCACCAACAUAAUGUUCCUCCAAACUACGGCUUAGGGAAUAAAGACAUUUAUUUGGGCUUGCCAGCAGAGCUUAUGGUAAUGAGGAGGAGUACCUACAAAGGUUUGACACCCAUAGACUUUUUUCUCUACAUCUCAGCUGAGCCUUCCAGAUCUGCAGCCACUGGCUGCAGGACCAAGAUGGAGAAGUGCCCUCCACCCUGGCUUCUUCAGUGUCUCUCCUUAGGCUCUCCCCCUCAUGCAAUUGAAGCUGACGGAUUGAGUGACUGUCUCCCUGUCUUUUUACAGAGAGUCUUAGUAUUCAAAUGGUUUGAGGAGAACACAAGAGAAGCUAGAGACGGCAUCUAUCCAUGUGCUUGCCAUUCGAAGGGCACGCCUAUCCAACACUGUGUAUUUUAAACAGAGGUUCAUUUCCCACCAUUCUGGAGGCUAGGUGACCUCAGCCUGCUGACAUUCUCUCCUCGCUUUCAUUAGCUACUUUUCUGUUGAUGUGAUAAAACACCACGGCCAAGGCAAC